GACGAACGCUGGCGGCGUGCUUAACACAUGCAAGUCGAACGGAAAGGCCCUGCUUUUGUGGGGUGCUCGAGUGGCGAACGGGUGAGUAACACGUGAGUAACCUGCCCUUGACUUUGGGAUAACUUCAGGAAACUGGGGCUAAUACCGGAUAGGAGCUCCUGCUGCAUGGUGGGGGUUGGAAAGUUUCGGCGGUUGGGGAUGGAUUCGCGGCUUAUCAGCUUGUUGGUGGGGUAGUGGCUUACCAAGGCUUUGACGGGUAGCCGGCCUGAGAGGGUGACCGGCCACAUUGGGGCUGAGAUACGGCCCAGACUCCUACGGGAGGCAGCAGUGGGGAAUAUUGCACAAUGGGCGGAAGCCUGAUGCAGCAACGCCGCGUGCGGGAUGACGGCCUUCGGGUUGUAAACCGCUUUCGCCUGUGACGAAGCGUGAGUGACGGUAAUGGGUAAAGAAGCACCGGCUAACUACGUG
rnacentral:rRNA from 1 species